rnacentral:rRNA from 1 species
GACGAACCGUGCGAACGUUAUUCGGAAUCACUGGGCUUAAAGCGCGUGUAGGCGGGUCGCCACGUCAGUCGCUGAAAUCCCCCGGCUCAACCGGGGAAGGGGCACUGAGACGAGCGGCCUGGAGGGAGGUAGGGGGGGCUGGAACUUCCGGUGGAGCGGUGAAAUGCGUUGAGAUCGGAAGGAACGCCCGUGGCGAAAGCGAGCCCCUGGACCUUUUCUGACGCUGAGACGCGAAAGCUAGGGGAGCGAACGGG